CACUCAGGUGGCCUAGUGGAUAGAGCGUCUGUCACGGAUGCUGGAGGUCGCGAGUUCAAACCCCGGCUGAGUUA